AACGAACGCUGGCGGCAUGCCUAACACAUGCAAGUCGAACGAGACCUUCGGGCCUAGUGGCGCACGGGUGCGUAACGCGUGGGAACCUGCCCUUAGGUUCGGAAUAACUCCCCGAAAGGGGUGCUAAUACCGGAUAAUGUCUUCGGACCAAAGAUUUAUCGCCUUUGGAUGGGCCCGCGUUGGAUUAGCUAGUUGGUAGGGUAAAAGCCUACCAAGGCGACGAUCCAUAGCUGGUCUGAGAGGAUGAUCAGCCACACUGGGACUGAGACACGGCCCAGACUCCUACGGGAGGCAGCAGUGGGGAAUAUUGGACAAUGGGCGAAAGCCUGAGCCAGCAAUGCCGCGUGAGUGAUGAAGGCCUUAGGGUUGUAAAGCUCUUUUACCCGGGAUGAUAAUGACAGUACCGGGAGAAUAAGCUCCGGCUAACUCCGUG
rnacentral:rRNA from 1 species